GGAAUAUAAGAACCCGUUUUUUUAAUUUUUAAUUAAAAAAGCUAAGAAUCGGUUCUUAAAUAAGAUAUUUAAGAACUGGUUCUUAAAUUUUUUAAUUAAAAGUUAAGAAACAUGUUUUUAGAUUCC
rfam:Brassica napus, WGS project CCCW01000000 data, contig: 16432